UUAAUUAUGGUGUAGUGGUAAAAUUUUUGGUUUACCCCCAAAAACGGGCAAGGUUCGAAUCCUUUUGUUGGG